AAGACCUUGCGCUUUUGGAGCGGCCGAUGCCUGAUUAGCUUGUUGGUAAGGUAAAGGCUUACCAAGGCUUCGAUCAGUAGCUGGUCUGAGAGGACGGCCAGCCACACUGGGACUGAGACACGGCCCAGACUCCUACGGGAGGCAGCAGUGGGGAAUUUUGGACAAUGGGGGAAACCCUGAUCCAGCCAUGCCGCGUGAGUGAAGAAGGCCUUCGGGUUGUAAAGCUCUUUCAGCCGGAACGAAACGGUUACGGAUAAUACCCGUGACUACUGACGGUACCGGAAGAAGAAGCACCGGCUAACUACGUGCCAGCAGCCGCGGUAAUACGUAGGGUGCGAGCGUUAAUCGGAGUUACUGGGCGUAAAGCGUGCGCAGGUGGUUUUGUAAGUCAGAUGUGAAAGCCCCGGGCUCAACCUGGGAACU
rnacentral:rRNA from 1 species